GUAGACGCGUGGCCAGCGGCUGCGGGAAUCUGGAGUGUGCGAGCGUGAAGGGGAGUGACUGGUCGGGAAGGGGUGGCGGUGAGACACGCAAGUGAGGCGUGAAAUGCCCGGGCUUAAACUGGGAAUGGCGCUGUAAACUACGGUGCUGGAGUAUGGCAGAGGGAGGUGGAAUUCCACGUGUAGCGGUGAAAUGCGUAGAGAUGUGGAGGAACACCGAUGGCGAAGGCAGCCUCCUGGGCCAAUACUGACGCUCAUGCACGAAAGCGUGGGGAGCAAACAGGAUUAGAUACCCGAGUAGUC
rnacentral:rRNA from 1 species